rnacentral:lncRNA from 1 species
AAGGGCUCGCUUGCACAAGCUCCCAGGCAUUCCUGGAGUCCUCACUGCUGUGCCCUGGGCUGCGCAAGGCACACAGGGCAGCCGGGUCUCGUUCUGUUGCACAGGCUGGAGUACAGUGGUGUGAUCAUGCCUCACUGCAGCCUCAAACCCCUGGGCUCAAGCGAUACUUCCCAUCUCAGCCUCCCAAUAGCUGGGAUUACAGGUGCACACCACCACGCCCGACUUGCACAGUCAUUUUCUUACGGCACAAAGACACAUAACUCUGUACUUGUUCAUCAACCUCUUCCUCCAAACCGGCUCUGAGCAAGUCACUCCUGUCUUACAAACACCGGCUUCCUGCUGCGGGGGAGACCACACCCAUCUUAGUUGACGGCAAAAGCCCCUUGUGAUGUGGCCUUCCUCUACCCUAUUUGUGAGGGCUUUUGUGACUGCUGGAGAGCAUUCCACAGCCCCACCUCCCGAGCUUGAGUCCUGCUGCUGCUCUGCUCCUAGAGUGCCACCUUUUCAUUUCAUACCAGUGCCCUCCGGGGACUCCAGGGCUUCCCCGGUCUCCCAGGCUCCCUUGAGUUCAUGUCUCCAGGACUGGCAGUGUACACUUAGCAGGGACUCCAUCGAGGGCACCUCACUCACCAACCCCAAGGAAGCCAGCAUUUGACUUGAACCGCACUGCAUAAUCAGAUACCACACAACUUUUGGAAUUGGCAUUGAUCAGGAAAAUGAUUUAAAAGGUGGGGGAUGCUGUUUAUUGAAUAAAGGAUAGUGUUGCCCUCCCAUGUGAGGCUCCCAGGAAAGAGUACCUGGUAAGCCUAUGCAACUGAGUACAUUAGAGUCUUCUGAAGUUAAAUUUGGAAUUGGGACGAGGUAGGAAAAAAUCUGUGCUCAUUGGAUACAGACUGCAAUUGUCUGUCGGUGCAGGAACUGAAGUAUCUGCAGCAAAUUAUAUUUAAGACUCUAUUGUCGCAGGCGGAUUAGCUAAUGCUUGAUUUUAAGUAUAGGCUUCUAAUGCUAUUACUCCUGGUUAACUCUACCUGGCAGGUAAACUUGUGGAACAAAUGACUGCAUUGCUUGAAUAACAUAUUUGAUCAAACAGGACAAUUCUUUCAAAAAUUGAGUUCUCUGUGGCAAUUUGAGACCUGUAAUCAGCAAAUUAGAUGAUUACAGCAGGGAUAAAAAUAGUCUUCUAACAAUGUCCAAGGUAUAAAUGUGAUUUGAAUUUCAAAAUGUGGAACAUGUGGUAGGAAAAUGCACGGUUGGGUAAAUAUGACUAGACAUUAUCAGAUUUGAUUUCUCUCUCUAGCCCUGCUCAGAGCUAGAGCCUAAUUUUGCCCAAAUAAACUCCAAUCUCGUUUGUGUCUGAGUUAGAGGAUGGACACGUAUUGGGUGCCAUGCUCUGAAUCUUAAAGGGCUCCAUGGC